rnacentral:rRNA from 1 species
GAAUCAGCUCGGUACUCCGAAUGCUCUAUGAUUAUGAGUUUGAUCAUGGCUCAGAUUGAACGCUGGCGGCAGGCCUAACACAUGCAAGUCGAGCGGAUGACGGGAGCUUGCUCCUUGAUUCAGCGGCGGACGGGUGAGUAAUGCCUAGGAAUCUGCCUGGUAGUGGGGGACAACGUUUCGAAAGGAAGCGCUAAUACCGCAUACGUCCUACGUGGAGAAGAGCAGGGGACCUUCGGGUCCUUGCGCUAUCAGAUGAGCCUAGGUCGGAUUAGGCUAGGUUGGUGAGGUAAAUGGCUCACCAAGGGCGACGGAUCCGGUAANCUGGGUCUGAAGAGGGGAGCUGGAA